rnacentral:rRNA from 1 species
AAGGCAUACGGCUCAGUAACACGUAGUCAACUUACCCUAUGGACGAGGAUAAUCUCGGGAAACUGAGCAUAAUACUCGAUAGAUCAUAAUGCCUGGAAUGGUUUAUGGUUGAAAUGAUUCGUCGCCAUAGGAUGGGACUGCGGCCUAUCAGCUUGUUGGUGAGGUAAUGGCCCACCAAGGCGAUUACAGGUACGGGCUCUGAGAGGAGAAGCCCGGAGAUGGGUACUGAGACAAGGACCCAGGCCCUAUGGGGCGCAGCAGGCGAGAAAACUUUGCAAUGUGCGAAAGCACGACAAGGUUAAUCCGAGUGAUUUCUGCUAAAGAAAUCUUUUGCAAGUCAUAAAACCACUAGUGAAUAAGGGGUGGCAAGUUCUGGUGUCAGCCGCCGCGGUAAAACCAGCACCUCAAGUGGUCAGGAGGAUUAUUGGGCCUAAAGCAUCCGUAGCCGGCUCUGUAAGUUUUCGGUUAAAUCCAUGUGCUCAACGCAUGGGCUGCCGAAAAUACUGCAUAGCUAGGGAGUGGGAGAGGUAGACGGUACUCGGUAGGAAGGGGUAAAAUCCUUUGAUCUAUCGAUGACCACCUGUGGCGAAGGCGGUCUACCAGAACACGUUCGACGGUGAGGGA